GGAGCCAAGUUUGCAGGUUCCAGAAGGCUUCUCACAUGGUUAGGCUGCAGGACUGUGGGCUGUGCUCUCCACCCUGAAGGGAGCAGAAGGGCCAGGUUGUUGGGCAGGGAGAGGUGGAGCAAGAGGCUUUUCCCAGAGCUGUUCUUGUACGCAUCGUGGGGUUUUCCCAAUGGGAAACACAUCAGCAGCAACUAUCUGCUGGGGUGGGAGCGAGCACUGCCUGCGCUAUAAAGCUACACCCUGGAAAGCACUGCCUUGACCUGAAAGCAGAGUUUAUUAACUCCAGAUUUUUACAGCAUAGCUGGCACGCCAACAACACUGUCUGAAUGCAAUGAAUCACUUGCAGAUAUAAACUAGGGGAACGCAUCUCCAGUGCUGCGCCAGCCUGAGUCACGCGCGGCUGUUGUGCCAAGUGCCAGCUGCUGAGCGGCAGCAAGCUCUUGGCUUUGCAACAGGCACUGCACACAGGGGCUCUCACCAGCUGCCUGAUGAGCACAGCCAGUGGUGAUGGCAGCUGAUUUGUUGAACACAGAGCACAGGUGCCUUGAACAGCAGACUUGCCUGUUACUUAAAAGGAAGGAGAUUGCCUAGGGCUAAUUGGUCACUCAGCAGGGGGAGAAGGAGCUACAGGUCCUGCUUAGCUGCAGAGAAGCUUUACAGAACAGCUCUGGGAUUUACCUCUGAUGAAGGAAGAGCAGAUAGAAAGGCUGGGAAGUCUACCUCCCACUGCUGCUUGCUGCUGUCUUUCAGCUGGAAGUAACCAACUGUGGAGUUGAGCUGGUAGAGUGAAAUGUACUUAGGCUCUACACCUGCAUGCCCACAGCAUCAUCCGUCUGUGGGAAAGGACCAGGGACUGAGCACCCCUUGUGUUGCUGCAGCAGGCUUCCACUUGCUCUGCAGGUUGAGGGCUUGAAGCCCUGCUAGCCAUACUAGGAGGAGUCUUUUAUAAUGUGUCCAUAGGAAAGGAUCAGAAGGGAGUUGGAUGCAGCAAGAGCAUCUGGCAGGAUGGAGAAAAGCAGGAAACCCUCUUGCUCUGUCCCUUCUUUUGGAUAUGAUGUCUCCCCUGCAAAUGCUGCUGGGGAUCCUUGGCAUGUGCAGGAGGUUGGAGAGGUGAAUGAGUUAGUCCUGUCUUUUUUAAACAACGGAAACAAUGCCUAUGGGCUGAAUUUAGGUCAGAUUGGAAACUAGAACUCUGAAAAUAAACUUUUCUCCCCCCAGAUGGUGCUGCAAAAGCCUUGUACUCAGGACAAACCUUCCAGAAAAAUGAAGGUUCUGCCACAUGUUUUCCAUAACCAGCCAAAUAAAAUAUUAUGUUUUAAAGCAUUCAAGGUCAGAGGAAUAACUUGGGCCCAGCAAUUUUUCCUCCUCGCAAUAGCUUCUGCUGAAUGUAAUCUUUAAAACUAUGCAUGUGGGGGGCCAGAUCCUGACCCCCACUGCAUCUGCUCUUCAUUGCUGCUGAAAAUGCAGAGCAGGCAGAAAGCUGGCUUAGCUGGAUUGCUGGAGAUUACCCUGACCCAGUUUGUCAGCCGCAGGGCAGGAGCCUGAGCGCCGUGGCCAGGGCAUGGCAGAAGGAGGGGAUCUUGCAGUGACAUCUGUAUGUCUGGGGACUUGUUGGGUGGGAUUGUGGCUGUCCCCUUAAUGUUCCAGCAGUGUGGGGUGGUCCUUGGCUGCUCUCAAAGUAGGGCUCCGGUCAUGGGCAGCAGCCAAAACUCUGUGUUCCAGACUCUGAGUUUUUCUUUAAGGCUUUUACUAGGUUGGCUUCUACAGC